GUCGUUAUUUUUAAAGUAAUGUUCGUUUGAUGAAUAAUACAUCAACAAUCUUUUAUAAUUUUCCUUUUUUUGAAGAUUUUUUUUUCCAUUUGCACAUCAAAUCAGAACAACGACACUUCGUAUGGACCAUUUUGAGAACAAAUCAUAGUGAUAAAAUGUAGUCAACAUCCUUGACCGUUUAAAAUGUAAACAGUGAUAUACAUUAAUUUACUGAAUUGGGUAAUGAUAGCGAAUUUGAGGAAAAUAUAAUCAUAAAUUAUUUUUGGUGAACGGUCAAUUUAGAUAACACUCCAUUAUAUUUAUAAACAUUCUCAUGAAAUAAUCAACAUACGAAUGUCAAAAUGCAAACGAAAAGAUUAACUUGCAUUGUCUCAAAACAAAUUUGACUGUGAUGCAGAGUGGAAGCCUCAGAAUGAAUUGCAAGAUUUUCUUUCUAUUGACUCUUUGCCAAAUUUGCUUCUCGGCAUACAUUCCUUCAAAGCAUGAUGAAAUAGAACAUACGACAGUGUAUACUACGAUACGGCCACGACCAAAUUUUAUACCUUGUAAUACCGUUCCACCAAAAAGGAUUUACUGAAGAAACAUCUAUAUCAUAUUUUAUGAAACAUCUAUGUUUCUAUAGAAUAAAACACUGUAAAAAAACACUAAAAUUUCAAAUAAAAUGUUGCUACGGCAAGUGGAAUAAAUGAUAA